CAAUUGUAGAGUAAUCUGCUCUUUCGGUCCAUAAUACCGACCGGUACUUCUUCAUAGGACAGAUCCUGCUGUAGUGGAAGAGGCUCAUGAACCAAGAUGUGAGAGGGUUCCGGGUUGUAAUUGCGUAAUAUGGAUACAUGAAAGACAUUAUAGACCCUGAAAAGUUCUGGAGGCAGUGUCAGUCUGUAGGUGGUGGUACCAAUUUUGCCUAAGAUCUCGAAUGG
rnacentral:lncRNA from 1 species